rnacentral:rRNA from 1 species
GAAUGACAAGGGAUCGACCGCUGAGACGCUCCUUUUGAUGGUUUUGAUCGUCCGUGUGGACAGAUCGGAGCGCAUUCCGUCGUUGUAGUUAUGGGCUUCGGCCUUUGACUGCGCUCGGAUGCGUCCCUGCUGGGUUCAAGCGGGGCUGUCGGACUGAGACGUAUGGUUGCGCGAGGGGUGAAAUCCUAUGACCGCAGCCAGGCGAACAUCCGCGAAGGAUCUCAGGAGUAUGCCUUUAUGGACCGAGAACCAAAGCGUGGAGAUCGAAGAUGAUCAGAUACCAUCGUAGUCCACGCUGUAAACGAUGGCACCCAUGGAUUGGGUUGUGCCGCUUGAGAACUCCCCAGGACUGUUUGCCGCUUGUGCGAAAGCAGAGGCUAUGGCCUCAUGGGGGAGUACGGCCGCAAGCUGAAACUUAAAGAGAUUGACGGAAAGGCACCUCCAGCCGUGGAGGGUGCGGCUUAAUUUGACUCAACACGGAAACCUUUGUUACGGCUUAAGGGCGAA